rnacentral:tRNA from 1 species
AAACAGAUAGUUUACACUAAAACAUUUGGUUUCGGCCCAUAAGACAUCACUUUGAUUCUGUUUU